UCAAAUGGCAGAAGAUACUUUACAGAUGGAAUUAAUUGAGAAUUUUGAGAUGCGGAGAAUCUCCAGGUGUGCCUGAUGGAAUCACAAGCUUCUUAAAAGAGAGAGACAGAGCCAGGAGAGUCAGAGAUGUGACCAUAGAAGCAGCCGAAGGAGCGUUGCAGCACCGCAGACCAAGAACUUGUCCUGGAAGCUGAAAAAUGGUAAAGCAAUUCCUUCCUACAACCUCCAAAAGGAACGUGCUCCUGCCAACACCUCGAUUUCAGCGCAGUGAAACUCAGUUUAGACUUCUGAUCUCCAGAACUAUAAGAAGCUUAUCAUGGUGCCGAGCAUGACAUAUGAUGUCUUGAGGCGUUACAGGGAAAUUCUACUGCAAGGACACCAACUCUUAGUUAACCAUCAGGUCUCUUCGGUCACACUGCAUUCUGUCAAGGAACUCCAACCUUCCCACAGUCAACAUCAGCUGUGUUUAUGUGGCCUUAGGUUCCCCUUAAUGGUUUGCUGCUACUAAAGAGAAGCAAGAAGAGCCUUCAGUUGAACAACUUCUGAUGGGAAUUGGAGAUAUGUAGAGAUGGAAAGAGGAAUUACGUUAGAAGAAAAUGUGGCUACUACUCACGUAAUUACACUUACUGACAAAUGCUCCGUAAUACCCAAAAUGUAAUUGAGGGCAAAAUUCCUUUGAUGAUCAAAAAGUGACAACAUUCUGGUACAAGAUGGCGACCCAGGAAGACCCUGAACUCCUCCUUCAUGGAUACACCAGAUCUAUAUCUAUUUAUAAAGCAGUUCCUCCUGAAGAAGAACGGGCGGCUGAAUGAACAGCUUCUGUACAACAAAAGACCAUAGAGAGAAUGGCAAAAACAUAGAGACAUGGUAAUGAUGGGAACCCCCACCCUCAACACUGUGGAACUGCAGUAGUUCACUGAGGGGCCGUGAACAGGUUUGUCUACCUGGGGCACAGAAAAAAUGCUGCAGUUCAAAAGACCAACUAGUAUAAAAGAUUAGCCCUUACAACUGCCACCGAAUGGCAGGGGAACUGCUACGAGUCUCUCAGUCAGGGGCUGGUGAACACCACUGCUAGGUAGCCUUGAUAGUGCAGACAAGAGCAGGGUCUGAGCACCACAGCUGGCCUACUGCCUCAGUGAGCCCCAGGUCCAUGUCCCAACCAGCCCCAGCCAUCCACCAAGGCAGCCACUUGCAGCACACACUAAGACGCUCCCUGUCAGUGCUCACUAUGGCUCCAGUCACCUUGUCAAGGUGACAGAGAUACAAACUACCCAGGAACACUCCAGACCCACAUCACUUCAGCUCCAAACAACUUGCCAGGGUACCACCAGUUUGUAGGGCCCUGGGACCCACAGCCUGCACCUAACCCAACAGGUUUCUCCUUCAUGUAGCACCUCCACAUAACCUGGCCUGUGCAACACUUCAGCUCCAUUUGCCCUGCCAGGAUUCCCUCUGCACAGAGCACCCUGGGAUAACGUAGCUGACAGCUAUUUCAGCUGUCCUGAAAGGAUACCCUCUAUGUAGGAGAGGGUCCCACAGCUGGCACACUCUGACAGGAGAGCCCCAGACUUCUCAGUGCCCAAUUCAGCUCUGGCCAUCCAGUCAAGGCAGCCCCAGCACCCCCAGCUCACAUCAGCCAUAGCUCCAGCCAGCUAACCAAAGUCACCAGGCAUAGUCUCACAGUUGGGAAAACCACAAAAAAGACCAUCCCUUCAAGUUUAGAAUGAGCUUCUCUGCCUAAUUCACAGAAACACUGAAAGCCACGCAAAGUGAAGAGAUGAAGGAAUAUGCUCCAAAAGAAGGAAUAAGAUAAUAGAAAAAGAAGUAAAUGAAAUAGAAAUAAGCAAUCUACUUCUACUAAAGAGUUCAAAGGGACAGUCAUAAAGAUGCUACCAGACUGGAGAGGAGAGUAGAUAAACUCAGAAAUAAUUUCAAUAAAGAAAUAAAAAAACAUAAAGAAGCAAUCAGAAUUGAAGACACAAUAACUGAAAUGAAAUAUACACUGGAGGGAAUCAAUUGUAGAUUAGAGGAUGCAGAAGAAUCAAUGAUCUACUGGAGAGCAAUCCAAGGUAAUGGAAAGCAUCCAAGCCGAACAGGAAAACAGAAGAAAAAAUUUAAAUAUAAGGAUAAACUAAGGCAUCUCUUAGACAACAUCAAAAAAAAAAAAAAAAUCUGCAUUAUAUGGGUCCCAGAAGGAAACAGAAAAGGGGCAGAAAAUUUACUUGAAGAAAUAAUAGCUGAAAACUUUCCUAAUCUAGGAAAAAAAAAUAGACUUUUAUGUCCAGAAGCACCAAAAGUCCUGAACAAAAUGGAAACCAAGGUAGCCCACACCAUGACAAAUAAUAAUUAAAGCGUCAAAGAAUAAAGGUAAGGACAGAAGCAAAUAGUCACAUACAGAGAAAACCCCAAAAGGCUGUCAGCUGAUUAUACAGCAGGAACUUUGUAUAUAACAUGUCACUCCUUUCUGGCCUGCAAAAUGCUGAAAGGAAAAAAACCUAAAGCCAAGAAUAUCUCUCCUUAAAUUCUAGAUGAUAAUCUUUCCGGGUAAAGAGUUCCCCAAACAAAAGUUAAAGGAGUUCAUCACCACGAAGAAAUGUUAAUAGGACUUCUUUAAAGUGGAAAAGGAAAAGACUCCAAAAGUAGAAGAAAAUUAUGAAAGGAAAAAAAAAAUUCAUGAAUUAAAAGUAAACACUUAAAAGCUAAUAUGAAGGGAUCCCUGGGUGGCGCAGCGGUUUGGCGCCUGCCUUUGGCCCAGGGCGCGAUCCUGGAGACCCGGGAUCGAAUCCCACAUCAGGCUCCUGGUGCAUGGAGCCUGCUUCUCCCUCUGCCUGUCUCUGCCUCUCUCUCUCUGGGACUAUCAUAAAUAGAUAAAAAUUAAAAAAAAAAAAAAAAAAAAAAAGCUAAUAUGAAGGUUAAAAGACAACAGUAGUAAAAUCAUCUAUACCUAAAAACUAGGUUACAGGGCAUCAUAAAAUAAAAAUGUAAAAUCUGACAACAUACAAAAUGAGGAGAAUAAAGCUCUUUAAGAAUGUGUUCAAAUUUAAAUGGCCAUCAACUUAAUACAGACUGCUAUAUACUUAAGAUGUUAUAUAUAAAUCUUAUGGUAAACACAAAAUGAAACCCUAUAAUAGAUACACAAAAAAGAGAAAGCC